UACGUAGGUCCCGAGCGUUGUCCGGAAUUACUGGGUGUAAAGGGUGCGCAGGCGGUCUUGUGCGUCAGAAGUGAAAUAUCACGGCUUAACCGUGAGGGUGCUUUUGAAACGGCGAGACUUGAGUACGGGAGAGGAUGAUGGAAUUCCUGGUGUAGCAGUGAAAUGCGUAGAUAUCAGGAGGAACACCGGUGGCGAAGGCGGUCAUCUGGCCCGGUACUGACGCUCAGGCACGAAAGUGUGGGUAGCAAACAGG
rnacentral:rRNA from 1 species